GUACCACCUGCCCAGUGAAACCAUUUCAACGGCCGCGGUAUCCUAACCGUGCAAAGGUAGCGUAAUCACUUGUCCCCUAAAUAGAGACUAGUAUGAACGGUUAAAUGAGGGCCUAACUGUCUCCUGUAGCCAAUCAAUGAAACUGAUCCCCCAGUACAAAAGCUGGGAUACACCCAUAAGACGAGAAGACCCUGUGGAGCUUCAAAUAUAUAUACUAUAAUAUACCCGAAUCUUCCCCCACCGGGCACAAAAAUUAAACCAAUAGUAAAAUUUUAAGUUGGGGCGACUACGGAAUAAAACCCACCCUCCACGACCCAAAGUCCAGUACUGCUCCCGACUAACCAGCCUAAAGCAAACAUGACUUUACGACCCAGUAUCACUGAUAAUCGGACCAAGUUACCCCAGGGAUAACAGCGCCAUCCUCUUCAAGAGCCCCCAUCGACAAGAGGGUUUACGACCUCGAUGUUGGAUCAGGACACCCAGGUGGCGCAGCCACUACCAAAGGUUCGUUUGUUCAACGAU
rnacentral:rRNA from 1 species